rnacentral:ncRNA from 1 species
GUGUCAAUGGAUGGGUUCGUUCUGAGAUUAUACGGUCAAAACUUGAUCUGGAUAAUACCAGCGAAAGGAUCAUGCCUUCCCUCUGU